rnacentral:rRNA from 1 species
AUGGACCCCACCGAUCAGUCGCCGGAGGAGAUGUACUCCGUAUGGGCCCUCCCGCCGGAGCCCGUCCGCCGUCGCCUUCUCGGCCUCAUGGCCAGCCUCCGUGCCGCGCACGGCGGCGCGGUCUUCGAACCGCACGCCACCAUGAUGGCCACGAGCGACCACUGCCGCGCCCACUUCGAUUACCAGACCAGCUCCCUCUUGUAUGGGGAUCACCUGACGGAGGAGGAGAAGGCAGCGGCGAGGAAGAAGGCAGGGGAGAUGGACAAGGGAAUAUUUGGGCUGCAGUUCGAGAUAUCUGAGCUCGCGCUUUACAAAACGGAUCCGAAGGACAAGAGCUUGGAGUCGUGGGAACUGGUUGAGUUGUGCCACCUUCAGAAGAAGUGA